UACGGAGGAUCCAAGCGUUAUCCGGAUUUAUUGGGUUUAAAGGGUGCGUAGGCGGCUUAUUAAGUCAGGGGUGAAAGACGGUGGCUCAACCAUCGCAGUGCCUUUGAUACUGAUGAGCUUGAAUACACUUGAGGUAGACGGAAUGUGACAAGUAGCGGUGAAAUGCAUAGAUAUGUCACAGAACACCAAUUGCGAAGGCAGCUUACUAAGGUGUUAUUGACGCUGAGGCACGAAAGCGUGGGGAUCAAACAGG
rnacentral:rRNA from 1 species